UACGAAGGGGGCUAGCGUUGCUCGGAAUUACUGGGCGUAAAGGGCGCGUAGGCGGAUGUUUAAGUCGAGGGUGAAAGCCCAGGGCUCAACCCUGGAAAUGCCUUCGAUACUGGACAUCUUGAGUACGGGAGAGGUGAGUGGAACUCCGAGUGUAGAGGUGAAAUUCGUAGAUAUUCGGAAGAACACCAGUGGCGAAGGCGACUCACUGGCCCAUUACUGACGCUGAGGCGCGAAAGCGUGGGGAGCAAACAGG
rnacentral:rRNA from 1 species